UGUUAGCUGGAAGGCCUGAUCACCCUUUCAGCCAGGAUCUCCUCUGGAUUUAGCUAGCUCGUGUCGUGUAAUUUCGGGUUCCAUCUCAUCAUGUCCUUGGUGUCUGUACUACUGGUCAGCUGCGCCUGGAGUGUGCACCUUCCAUCUCAGGAUCCCAAAGAAUUUUACAGACGUUGAGGAGUUAAGCUGUGCAACCACCCUGUGAGAUAGUAACUGAAAACUUUCCUUGCCCUUUGAAGCCCCAUGAAGUCUUUGUAUGAUCAAUAUUUUAGAUAAUGACUAUCACAAGUUCUUAUGGGCAACUGAAGGAGC